GUCCGAGAUAGCAAAGUUGAGGCUGGAAGGCAAAGUCGCCAUCAUCACCGGCGCCGCCAGCGGGAUCGGCGAGGCCGCCGCCAGGCUCUUCGCCUCCCAUGGCGCCCUCAUCGUCAUCGCCGACGUCCAGGACGAUCUCGGCCGCUCCGUCGCCGCCUCCAUCGGAGCUGACAAGUGCAGCUACUACCACUGCGACGUCCGGGACGAGAAGCAAAUUGAGGCGACGGUGGAGUACACCAUCAACACCUACAACCGCUUCGACAUCCUCUACUGUAACGCCGGCAUCCUCGGCACCGCCCACAGCAUAUUAGAUGCGAGCAUGGAGGAGUGGGAUGAGAUGUUUGCUGUGAAUGUUCGCGGAGUCGCUGCUGCAAUCAAACAUGCCGGGCGGGCGAUGGUGGCGCGGGGGACCAGAGGGUCUAUUGUGUGUACGGCGAGCCUGGCGGCUUUCCGGGGAGGGCAUGGAGUGGCGUCGUAUACGUCGGCGAAGCAUGCGGUGCUGGGGUUGGUGCGGGCGGCGGCGGGUGAGCUUGGGGUGCAUGGGAUAAGGGUGAACUGUGUGUCGCCGUCGGCGGUGGCGACGCCGCUGGGAUGUAAGCUGAAUGGGUGGAGUCAGAGUAAGUUGGAGGAGUAUGGGUCGGCCGUGGCGAGCUUGAAGGGGGUGGUGCUGAAGGCGAAGGAUAUUGCUGAGGCGGCGCUGUUUCUGGCGGCCGACGAGGCGGCGUUCAUCACCGGACAUAAUCUGGUGGUGGACGGAGGGAGGACGGUGGUGAGUGCGAGGAUCCAGCAGUACUAUGAUGAGUGAUUGUUGGUCUGAGUUUUGUGAUUAUGGCUUCGAAUAAAUGAAAUUGUGAACAUUUUAUUUGAGUAUAUUGAGAUUGGAG
rnacentral:misc_RNA from 1 species